rnacentral:pre_miRNA from 1 species
UUUGAGAGAAAUGUUGUCUGGUUCGAUGAAACCAACUCCAUCAAGCUUAUACAUUUUUUUGUAUAUAUGUGUGUAUAUAUAUAUAUAGAGAGAGAGAGAGAGAGAGCUUGUUGGUUUCGUCGGACCAGGCUUCAUUCCCCCCAAA